GGGAGGGAGUGACUGGUGACAGAGGGAGGGAGUGACUAGUGACAGAGGGAGGGAGUGACUAGUGACAGAGAGAGGGACCCCCCUCACUCUGUCACUAGUCACCCCCUCUGUCCCUAGUCACCCCCUUCCUCACUCUGUCACUAGUCACCCCAUCCCUCUCUCUGUCACUAGUCACCCCAUCCCUCCCUCUGUCACUAGUCACCCCUUCCCUCCCUCUCUCUGUCACUAGUCACCCCCUCCCUCCC